rnacentral:rRNA from 1 species
CCUACGGGUGGCAGCAGUGAGGAAUAUUGGUCAAUGGACGAGAGUCUGAACCAGCCAAGUCGCGUGAAGGAUGACUGCCCUAUGGGUUGUAAACUUCUUUUAUAUGGGAAUAAAAUGUUCCACGUGUGGGAUUUUGUAUGUACCAUAUGAAUAAGGAUCGGCUAACUCCGUGCCAGCAGCCGCGGUAAUACGGAGGAUCCGAGCUUUAUCCGGAUUUAUUGGGUUUAAAGGGAGCGUAGGUGGAUUGUUAAGUCAGUUGUGAAAGUUUGCGGCUCAACCGUAAAAUUGCAGUUGAAACUGGCAGUCUUGAGUACAGUAGAGGUGGGCGGAAUUCGUGGUGCAGCGGUGAAAUGCUUAGAUAUCACGAAGAACUCCGAUUGCGAAGGCAGUUCACUGGACUGCAACUGACACUGAGGCUCGAAAGUGUGGGUAUCAAACAGGAUUAGAUACCCCAGUAGUC